rnacentral:rRNA from 1 species
AACGAACGCUGGCGGCAUGCCUAACACAUGCAAGUCGAACGAGACCUUCGGGUCUAGUGGCGCACGGGUGCGUAACGCGUGGGAACCUGCCCUUAGGUUCGGAAUAACUCCCCGAAAGGGGUGCUAAUACCGGAUAAUGUCUUCGGACCAAAGAUUUAUCGCCUUUGGAUGGGCCCGCGUUGGAUUAGCUAGUUGGUAGUGUAAAAGCCUACCAAGGCGACGAUCCAUAGCUGGUCUGAGAGGAUGAUCAGCCACACUGGGACUGAGACACGGCCCAGACUCCGACGGGAGGCAGCAGUGGGGAAUAUUGGACAAUGGGCGAAAGCCUGAUCCAGCAAUGCCGCGUGAGUGAUGAAGGCCUUAGGGUUGUAAAGCUCUUUUACCCGGGAUGAUAAUGACAGUACCGGGAGAAUAAGCUCCGGCUAACUCCGUG